AUUGAACGCUGGCGGCAGGCUUAACACAUGCAAGUCGAACGAUGAAGUCUAGCUUGCUAGACGGAUUAGUGGCGAACGGGUGAGUAAUGCUUAGGAAUCUGCCUAUUAGUGGGGGAUAACGUAGGGAAACUUACGCUAAUACCGCAUACGACCUACGGGUGAAAGGGGGCGUUUAGCUCUCGCUAAUAGAUGAGCCUAAGUCGGAUUAGCUAGUUGGUGGGGUAAAGGCCUACCAAGGCGACGAUCUGUAGCUGGUCUGAGAGGAUGAUCAGCCACACUGGGACUGAGACACGGCCCAGACUCCUACGGGAGGCAGCAGUGGGGAAUAUUGGACAAUGGGCGAAAGCCUGAUCCAGCCAUGCCGCGUGUGUGAAGAAGGCCUUUUGGUUGUAAAGCACUUUAAGUGGGGAGGAAAAGCUUGUGGUUAAUACCCAUAAGCCCUGACGUUACCCACAGAAUAAGCACCGGCUAACUCUGUGCCAGCCGCCGCCGUAACAC
rnacentral:rRNA from 1 species